rnacentral:rRNA from 1 species
UACGUAGGGUGCGAGCGUUGUCCGGAAUUAUUGGGCGUAAAGGGCUCGUAGGCGGUUUGUCGCGUCGGGAGUGAAAUCCACUGGCUUAACUGGUGGCUUGCUUUCGAUACGGGCAGACUGGAGGUAUGCAGGGGAGAACGGAAUUCCCGGUGUAGCGGUGAAAUGCGCAGAUAUCGGGAAGAACACCCGUGGCGAAGGCGGCUCUCUGGGACGGUACUGACGCUGAGACGCGAAAGCGUGGGGAGCGAACAGG